UACACUCCUACGGGAGGCAGCAGUGGGGAAUUUUGGACAAUGGGCGAAAGCCUGAUCCAGCAAUGCCGCGUGAGUGAAGAAGGCCUUCGGGUUGUAAAGCUCUUUUGUCAGGGAAGAAACGGUGAAAGCUAAUAUCUUUUGCUAAUGACGGUACCUGAAGAAUAAGCACCGGCUAACUACGUGCCAGCAGCCGCGGUAAUACGUAGGGUGCAAGCGUUAAUCGGAAUUACUGGGCGUAAAGCGUGCGCAGGCGGUUUUGUAAGUCUGAUGUGAAAUCCCCGGGCUCAACCUGGGAAUUGCAUUGGAGACUGCAAGGCUAGAAUCUGGCAGAGGGGGGUAGAAUUCCACGUGUAGCAGUGAAAUGCGUAGAUAUGUGGAGGAACACCGAUGGCGAAGGCAGCCCCCUGGGUCAAGAUUGACGCUCAUGCACGAAAGCGUGGGGAGCAAACAGGAUUAGAAACCCCGGUAGUCCCA
rnacentral:rRNA from 1 species